rnacentral:rRNA from 1 species
CAAGCGUUGUCCGGAUUUACUGGGCGUAAAGAGCGCGCAGGCGGUCGUUCAAGUCGCGUGUGAAAGCCCCCGGCUCAACUGGGGAGGGUCACGCGAUACUGAUCGACUCGAAGGCAGGAGAGGGUAGUGGAAUUCCCGGUGUAGUGGUGAAAUGCGUAGAUAUCGGGAGGAACACCAGUGGCGAAGGCGGCUGUCUGGGCCAGUUCUGACGCUGAGGCGCGAAAGCGUGGGGAGCAAACAGG